GACGCUUUAGCUCAGUUGGGAGAGCGUCAGACUGAAGUUACAGUUAGCAAUCUGAAGGCCCAGUGUUCAAGCCACUGAAGCGUCA